rnacentral:rRNA from 1 species
UACGGAGGGUGCAAGCAUUAAUCGGAUUUAUUGGGCGUAAAGGGCGCGUAGGCGGUAAGAAAAGUCAGAUGUGAAAUCCUGGAGCUCAACUUCAGAACAGCAUUUGAAACUGUCUUUCUAGAGGGUAGGAGGAGAAAACGGAAUUCCACAAGUAGCGGUGAAAUGCGUAGAUAUGUGGAAGAACACCGGUGGCGAAGGCGGGUCUCUGGGCCGAUACUGACGCUGAGGAGCGAAAGCGUGGGGAGCGAACAGG